rnacentral:rRNA from 1 species
GACGAACGCUGGCGGCGUGCCUAAUACAUGCAAGUCGAACGCAGUGGGGACGGGUGAGUAACACGUGGGUAACCUCCCAUCAGAGGGGAUAACACUUGGAAACAGGUGCUAACCCGAUAUUGAUGGUUGGACCCGCGGUGCAUUACAGAGUGGGUGGGGUAACGGCUCCCCAAGGCCACGAUGAAUCGCCGCCCUGAGGGGGUGCUGGGGCAGACUGGGACUGAGGAUCGGCCGAGAUGCGUACGGGAGGCAGCAGUGGGGAAUCCUCGGGGAAGGACGAAAGUCUGACCGAGCAACGGCGCGUGAGUGAAGAAGGUUUGCGGAUCGUAAGACGCUGUUGUUAGGGAAGCGGUAUCUAACCAGAAAGCCACGGCUAACUACGUGCCAGCAGCCGCGGUAAUAC